rnacentral:rRNA from 1 species
UGGGGGAAUAUGNNCAAUCCGUGCGAANGNAGACACAGNCGUAACUAUGNGAAUGAGGNAGACCCUAGGGGCAGCAAAGCUCUUUANGUAGUNACGNUGGUUUUUUAGUUUUUAGCGCAUCAAAUUGGCUUUAAAUUCAGAAGAAGCCAAGGCUAAUUACGUGCCAGCAGCCCCCGGUAAUCCGGAGGGUGCGAGCGUUAAUCGGAAUAGCUCGGCGUAAAGGGCACGCAGGCGGUUAUUUAAGUGAGGUGUGAAAGCCCCGGGCUUAACCUGGGAAUUGCAUUUCAGACUGGGUAACUAGAGUACUUUAGGGAGGGGUAGAAUUCCACGUGUAGCGGUGAAAUGCGUAGAGAUGUGGAGGAAUACCGAAGGCGAAGGCAGCCCCCCGGGAAUGUGAAUGUACUGACGCUCAUGUGCGAAAGCGUGGGGAGCAAACAGGAUUAGAUACCCUGGUAGUCCACGCUGUAAACGCUGUCGAUUUGGGGGUUGGGGUUUAACUCUGGCGCCCGUAGCUAACGUGAUAAAUCGACCGCCUGGGGAGUACGGCCGCAAGGUUA